rnacentral:rRNA from 1 species
GUGCCAGCCGCCGCGGUAAUUCCAGCUCCAAUAGCGUAUAUUAAAGUUGUUGUGGUUAAAAAGCUCGUAGUUGAACCUUGGGCCUGGCUGGCCGGUCCGCCUCACCGCGUGCACUGGUCCGGCCGGGCCUUUCCCUCUGUGGAACCCCAUACCCUUCACUGGGCGUGGCGGGGAAACAGGACAUUUACUUUGAAAAAAUUAGAGUGCUCCAGGCAGGCCUAUGCUCGAAUACAUUAGCAUGGAAUAAUAAAAUAGGACGCGCGGUUCUAUUUUGUUGGUUUAUAGGACCGCCGUAAUGAUUAAUAGGGACAGUCGGGGGCAUCAGUAUUCAACUGUCAGAGGUGAAAUUUUUGGAUCAGUUGAAGACUAACUACUGCGAAAGCAUUUGCCAAGGAUGUUUUCAUUAAUCAGGAACGAAAGUUAGGGGAUCGAAGACGAUCAGAUACCGUCGUAGUCUUAACCAUAAACUAUGCCGACUAGGGAUCGGACGGUGUUAUUCAUGACCCGUUCGGCACCUUACGAGAAAUCAAAGUGCUUGGGCUCCAGGGGGAGUAUGGUCGCAAGGCUGAAACUUAAAGAAAUUGACGGAAGGGCACCACCAGGGGUGGAGCCUGCGGCUUAAUUUGACUCAACACGGGGAAACUCACCAGGUCCAGACACAAUAAGGAUUGACAGAUUGAGAGCUCUUUCUUGAUUUUGUGGGUGGUGGUGCAUGGCCGUUCUUAGUUGGUGGGGUGACUUGUCUGCUUAAUUGCGAUAACGAACGAGACCUUAACCUGCUAAAUAGCCCGCAUUGCUCCGGCAGUGCGCUGGCUUCUUAGAGGGACUUU